GUAGGGUGCAAGCGUUAAUCGGAAUUACUGGGCGUAAAGCGUGCGCAGGCGGUUGUGCAAGACCGAUGUGAAAUCCCCGGGCUUAACCUGGGAAUGGCAUUGGUGACUGCACGGCUAGAGUGUGUCAGAGGGGGGUAGAAUUCCACGUGUAGCAGUGAAAUGCGUAGAGAUGUGGAGGAAUACCGAUGGCGAAGGCAGCCCCCUGGGAUAACACUGACGCUCAUGCACGAAAGCGUGGGGAGCAAACAGGAUUAGAUACCCUGGUAGUCCACGCCCUAAACGAUGUCUACUAGUUGUCGGGUCUUAAUUGACUUGGUAACGCAGCUAACGCGUGAAGUAGACCGCCUGGGGAGUACGGUCGCAAGAUUA
rnacentral:rRNA from 1 species